rnacentral:ncRNA from 2 species
CAACGAAAUAAAUCCCUUCGGGAUUUGUGAAAUGCCCUGCGGGCGUGAAAUACGCCUGCGGCGCAUGAAAUCGCUG